GAUAUCCUUCUGUAUUGUAAGGGAAAAGUAUCAGGCUUUGAAAUAUCUCCUCUCUCCAUUUGCGGUUGCUCACAUUUGUUAGUACUAUUGCACAGUACUUCCCGUUUGAUAUUAUUGUUAGGUGAUUUUUUUGCAAAUCUCUGAAUUGUUUCUAGAAAUCUGUGAUAUUGAUGAAUUCUGUUUACUUCCUCCUCUGUGUAACUCCAAUCCACUUCCUCCUGUCCUCUCUGUCCUCAUCCAUACUGUGUAUCUGCAACAUGGGACUCUUCCUCCUCUUGAAACAGUUGGAGGAUUGCCUGAAUGAAUUUCCAAUUACCAUUCCAUAUAUUUUUCCUGUAGAAGCAAUUCUGAAUAUAUAUAUAUAUGAAAUUCUAUUUAAAGGAGUUUCUAUAAUUGUUUUUGUACCUUGCGCCUUGUUUCAAAGAGUACUUUAAUGUGUUUUCCUCUUCUGAGUCCUACUCAAUGUAUAGGUGUUAUGUAGUAUUGUUAAUAAUAUAUAAUAAUACUUUAAUGGUCAGACAUAACUCGUAAUGUUUUUAAAAUUGAACUUAAUACCUGGUCAGAAUUUAAAAGUCAAAUAAACUUGGUCAGAAUCCUUAGCAUAAUUAAUAUGAUUGAUUCUCCUGAACUACAGAAAAGUUAUUGAAUAUUUUAUAACACUCGUAACUUAGGCCUAGAAAUCUAUAAGUGCUGAAAAUUUCUGGACAGCAGAUUGGAGAUCAGCAAACUUACUUGAAUCAAAUUUUACAGAGAGGAUGUGAUCACAUUCAAGUGUAGAAGUUUUUACAGUCUUGUAGUUCCUUGAGUUCUAAGAUAGUAUAUAAAUGUCACUAAGGAUGGUGUGGAGUUACUAUGUUUUCCAUAGACCUAACCAACUGCCAAACAUCAUCAUGCUCGAGCUAUUAGAAAACUUGGAUUUGUGUGUGAUGGUUAGAAAAGGUCUAAUUCUGAACAGAUUGCACGCCAGAUAUCAGACACGUUGAACAGAUGACCAUGAUCAUUGUAUUUGUUGAAAUAAAGCCAGAUUCUGAUCAUUGUGAUCUGGUAGGUAUAAAAGAACGCUUCUUAGGGUUUAUGCCACUCAAGGAGAAAACUGGUUUUCGAAUGAGACACAAUCCUUCAUCAAUUGGCUGAAAUGUCAUUGCCGAUCAAAAAGUUGUGUGGUCGCACUGAAACCUCUUCAGUAUCAGUUGGGUGAGAUAUAUGAUGUAAUGAUGGAGACUGCUGAUGAUCAUACUUUGACAGGUUCAUCUGGCAAUACUCCAUGUGUAGGUGCACAUGGUCUUGCCAAUGGCAUUUCUAAGUUCAAGUUUGUUGCUUCACUUGUCAUCUGGUAUGAACUUUUAUUCUCGAUAAACCUAUUGAGUAAACAACUCUAGGCAAAGGACCUCAAUAUGAAACAACUGAGGGCAACAGGAGUGAUGCAGGCCUAGAGAAAGAGCUAGCUGACGCCCGUUAACUUGAAAUAGCAGCAGAGUUUGAUCCGUAGCAGACGAGGAAAAAACUUUUCAUAUGAAGGAGUUGAUGAUCCUAUCUAGAGUUGUAAGGAAAGGUUCAAAGUUGAGUAGUGAUUCACACAGCUGCACCAACAUAAUUCCGUGUUUGGUUUUCUGUACGAUUUUCACAGCAUACACGACAAAACAGCACAACAAAUUAUGGGUUGCUGCUUUAAAGAAAGCUCAAUGUUCAAAGUUAUUUUUUCUCCCAAAAGAAUUUAAUGAUCUCAAGUUAGAUGAUCUAUAUAUCACUUGUCUCAUCAUAACUUCAACCACACCUGAAGACAUAUAAAGGUGUGGAAAUAUAAGAGAAAAGAAAAAAAGAUAGACAAUUUAGUUAGACACAUGAUGUUCAUCUGUGAAGGACAUCAUAAUUCCUCUAACAGGUAGAAUAACCUGCUUACCUUUAUAAACACUGAACACGUGCCAGUACAGUAGUGGAAAUGAAAAUGUAUAUGACUGUCUGCUGUUCAGCCUACAAGACGUGUCAACAUAACAAGUACAUCUGCUUAUGUAGUGUUUGCCAAUUUCAGUGGAUUAUAAAUAACAGGGUUCUUAGUCAAAGUGAUUCAAUGGAAAUAAGAGAUGAAUCUACUACAGAGAUUUCUGGUGAUGAAUAAAACAGCAAACAUUAGGGCACCUACAUGGGAACAAACUUCUGCUAUACCUGCCAUGCAAAUGCAGUGUCCAAAAAUUACAGUUCCAUCAUUUUCAUAUAUCAACCGUGGAAACAAAUGUGUUAUUCAUCCUUUGAGAAUGCUUCACUUUUCCAGAAAUAUGCACUUGUUGUUUACUACUAUCUGUACUGUGUUUAGCACCCAUCCACAAAUAACUCUAUGAUUGAAAAGACUUGUAUGCUUUCAAUUCCUGUAAUAUAUAAGUACACUGUGAGUAAAAUAAAUAAUUGACUACCUCUAUAUAUGUGACUUCUGGCCAUUUUGUCAUGUCAUUGCUCAAGUCCCAUUUCGUGAUCUUGUAUGGAUCUUUACUGUCUAUCACCCAGGGGUAGUGUGAGGAUUUCAUAAAAAAUUCAUAUGCUAUGCAUAGGUUUAGCCCCUGGGCCCCGAUGUAUUAUUAUACCACCUAUGUAUGCCUAAUCUAGGCCUACAUGCCAAACCUAAAUGUGUAAAAUAUUACUAAUUAGCCCUACAUACAGUGAGAGACUUUUUACUUUAUACAGUGAGAGAGAUGUUUUACUUGUAUACCCCAGGCUUGUUUAGGGGCCUUAUAUGUUAUAAAAAUGUAAUUUUAAUUAAUGCAACCAUAAAUAAAACUUUAACUGGGGCAUAAUGAUGUUGUAAUCCAAAAUAAGAGACUUACUAGUACAUAUAAACUCUCUCACCAGUCAUUGUGAUAGUAAGUAGAUCUGUUAACAGAAACUAUGACUAAAGCUUAGUUUGUAUUGUGAUUAUCCAUCUCACUGUCCCUGAUUUUCUAGCAAUCGUUGACCUUGUCUUUUUGAUUCAAGACCCAUGAUUCUGGACUUGCGAUACUCAUUGUCACGUAAAGUCGUUCACAAAGUAACAUUGCACAUUUACUGUUGCUAUGUUACAUAUCCACACAGUCAACUGGCAAAGACCUCUGUGAAAAAUACCUAUAUAAGGCUAACUUUUUUUAAUCUCACAGUCAGUGUCCUUUGCUACUGAUUGAACAUAGUACAUAGUAAAACCACACAUUGUAAACAGUUAUUAUUCACAACUAGGCUGUGGUAGAAUGGUAAACCUAACUCUAACCCUAGCCCUCCUAUUCUAAUUAAAUACUCUCUUCGAACAUCUAAAUGCAUUUUAACGUGAACUUCACCAUAAUCAGACAAUACAUCACUAACCCCACUUUAACCCUUUCUCUUUGAGCUUAGUUCACCCAAAAGGCCGAUUUUGGUCUUUCUUAGCAAUAAAUAUAAUAUAAUAAAUUGAGAAAAAGAAAUCUGUUUUAUCUAACUUUAUUUUGUAGGCUCAAAUUCCUUUACAUGUGGGUUUUAAUAAAGAUAAAUGCUAUAAAUAAUUAAUCUAAGUAUGAUUAAACUGAUCUAAGCUGUACAAGGCCUAUCUCUGAAACUUUCAGACAACAAAGCCUCAGGUCAUCUUCUGUAAGAGUAAAAGCCGCAAGAAAAUAAGUUAGGCUUAGGCUAUGCCACGUAGGUUUCUCAUGACUUGGAUAACCUCAUUUAAGAUGAAGUAAGAGAUGAAUCAGAACCUUAAUAAAGGGCAUGUAGCACUGAAAUGUUUGUGCCCACUUCAACAAAUACAAUACAUCAAACACCCCUAUCUUGUUGCUUUAAAAAUUUUUGUUGUUGACCAAAAUAAAGGCUGAAAGUUAUAAAUGGAGCAAUUAUUGUAAAAAACAAAACUAAACAGUAGAAUUUUGACUCAACACUUAAUAUUCAUAGGUUUAGGAAAAAUAAACUGUCCUUAAGUAGUUCAGUGGUAAGAUCACAGAAUUACAAAGCUAAAAUCCAGGGUUUGAUUCUCUGUGGUGGAGAGCUUUUCUUUAAAACAAAAAGGAAAUAAACUGCUGUAAAUUACAUAGAACAAAAAAUAUAAAUAUAUGAUGUUGCAGUUCAAUGUUGGAAAUACAAAUUAUCUAUUGAAAAUUGAAACUUUCAGUGUAUAUGUAAAUCCCAAAUUAUUUGUUCUGUUCUAUUAAAAAUAAUUUUGAUGUAUGACAGCAACUGCAAUUUUAAAUUUUGUAAAACAUAAUUAAGUCUUAGCAUCAAAGAAUUUUUCAGGAGAUAAAUUCCCUUAUAAUAAUUUUAAAGAUGUUGGAACUAUUACAGAUUGAGCAUUGGAAGAUAUAAAACCCUUAAUUUGUUAAACAUCUAACAAAAUUUUUGUUAUGAACUACUAUAAUGAACUACUACA